rnacentral:rRNA from 1 species
CGACCUCAGAGCAGGCGAGACUACCCGCUGAAUUUAAGCAUAUUACUAAGCGGAGGAAAAGAAACUAACAAGGAUUCCCCCAGUAGCGGCGAGCGAACAGGGAAGAGUCCAGCACCGAACCCCGCAGGCUGCCGCCUGUCGUGGCAUGUGGUGUUUGGGAGGGUCCACUACCCCGACGCCUCGCGCCGAGCCCAAGUCCAACUUGAAUGAGGCCACGGCCCGUAGAGGGUGCCAGGCCCGUAGCGGCCGGUGCGAGCGUCGGCGGGACCUCUCCUUCGAGUCGGGUUGCUUGAGAGUGCAGCUCCAAGUGGGUGGUAAACUCCAUCUGAGACUAAAUAUGACCACGAGACCGAUAGCGAACAAGUACCGUGAGGGAAAGUUGAAAAGAACUUUGAAGAGAGAGUUCAAAAGUACGUGAACCGUUCUGGGGUAAACGUGAGAAGUCCGAAAGUCGAACGGGUGAGAUUCACGCCAUCCGGCCACUGGCCUCCGCCCUCGGCAGAUGGGGCCGGCCGCCCGCGCGGAGCAAUCCGCGGCGGGGUCGUGUCCGGUUGCCUUUCCACUCGCCGCGGGGUGGGGCCGUUCCGGUGUGCGGUGGGCCGCACUUCUCCCCUAGUAGGACGUCGCGACCCGCUGGGUGCCGGCCUACGGCCCGGGUGCGCAGCCUGUCCUUCCGCGGGCCUCGGUUCGCGUCUGUUGGGCAGAGCCCCGGUGUCCUGGCUGGCUGCCCGGCGGUAUAUCUGGAGGAGUCGAUUCGCCCCUUUGGGCGCUCGGGCUCCCGGCAAGCGCGCGCGGUUCUUCCCGGAUGACGGACCUACCUGGCCCGGCCCCGACCCGCGCCGCUGUUGGCUCGGGAUGCUCUCGGGCGGGAAUAAUCGCUCCCGUCAGCGGCGCUUCAGCUUUGGACAAUUUCACGACCCGUCUUGAAACACGGACCAAGGAGUCUAACAUGUGCGCGAGUCAUUGGGCUGUACGAAACCUAAAGGCGUAAUGAAAGUGAAGGUCUCGCCUUGCGCGGGCCGAGGGAGGAUGGGGCUUCCCCGCCCUUCACGGGGCGGCGGCCUCCGCACUCCCGGGGCGUCUCGUCCUCAUUGCGAGGUGAGGCGCACCUAGAGCGUACACGUUGGGACCCGAAAGAUGGUGAACUAUGCCUGGCCAGGACGAAGUCAGGGGAAACCCUGAUGGAGGUCCGUAGCGAUUCUGACGUGCAAAUCGAUCGUCGGAGCUGGGUAUAGGGGCGAAAGACUAAUCGAACCAUCUAGUAGCUGGUUCCCUCCGAAGUUUCCCUCAGGAUAGCUGGUGCUCGUACGAGUCUCAUCCGGUAAAGCGAAUGAUUAGAGGCCUUGGGGCCGAAACGACCUCAACCUAUUCUCAAACUUUAAAUGGGUGAGAUCUCGGCUUGCUUGAUAUGCUGAAGCCGCGAGCAAACGACUCGGAUCGGAGUGCCAAGUGGCCACUUUUGGUAAGCAGAAACUGGCGCUGUGGGAUGAACCAAACGCCGAGUUAAGGCGCCCGAAUCGACGCUCAUGGGAAAACCAUGAAAGGCGUUGGUUGCUUAAGACAGCAGGACGGUGGCCAUGGAAGUCGGAAUCCGCUAAGGAGUGUGUAACAACUCACCUGCCGAAGCAACUAGCCCUGAAAAUGGAUGGCGCUGAAGCGUCGUGCCUAUACUCGGCCGUCAGUCUGGCAGUCAUGGCCGGUCCUUGCGGCCGGCCGCGAAGCCCUGACGAGUAGGAGGGUCGCGGCGGUGGGCGCAGAAGGGUCUGGGCGUGAGCCUGCCUGGAGCCGCCGUCGGUAGAGAUCUUGGUGGUAGUAGCAAAUACUCCAGCGAGGCCCUGGAGGGCUGACGCGGAGAAGGGUUUCGUGUGAACAGCCGUUGCACACGAGUCAGUCGAUCCUAAGCCCUAGGAGAAAUCCGAUGUUGAUGGGGGCCCGUCAUAGCAUGAUGCACUUUGUGCUGGCCCCCGUUGGGCGAAAGGGAAUCCGGUUCCUAUUCCGAAACCCGGCAGCGGAACCGAUACAAGUCGGGCCCCUCUUUUAGAGAUGCUCGUCGGGGUAACCCAAAAGGACCCGGAGACGCCGUCGGGAGAUCGGGGAAGAGUUUUUCUUUCUGCAUGAGCGUUCGAGUUCCCUGGAAUCCUCUAGCAGGGAGAUAGGGUUUGGAACGCGAAGAGCACCGCAGUUGCGGCGGUGUCCCGAUCUUCCCCUCGGACCUUGAAAAUCCGGGAGAGGGCCACGUGGAGGUGUCGCGCCGGUUCGUACCCAUAUCCGCAGCAGGUCUCCAAGGUGAAGAGCCUCUAGUCGAUAGAAUAAUGUAGGUAAGGGAAGUCGGCAAAUUGGGAUCCGUAACUUCGGAUAAGGAUUGGCUCUGAGGAUCGGGGCGUGUCGGGCUUGGUCGGGAAGUGGGUCAGCGCUACGUGCCGGGCCUGGGCGAGGUGAGUGCCGUAGGGGUGCGGUAAGUGCGGGCGUUUAGCGCGGCGCGUGGUCUGCUCUCGCCGUU